UACGUAGGGUGCGAGCGUUAAUCGGAAUUACUGGGCGUAAAGGGUGCGCAGGCGGCGUCGCAAGUCAGGCGUGAAAUCCCCGGGCUUAACCUGGGAACUGCACUUGAAACUACGAUGCUGGAGUAUGGCAGAGGGAGGUGGAAUUCCACGUGUAGCGGUGAAAUGCGUAGAUAUCUGGAGGAGCACCGGUGGCGAAGGCGGCAUCCUGGACCAAUAUUGACGCUGAGGAGCGAAAGCCAGGGGAGCAAACGGG
rnacentral:rRNA from 1 species